UUCCGGUUGAUCCCGCCGGAAGUCACUGCUAUCGGUGUUCGACUAAGCCAUGCGAGUCAAAUGUUCUUCGUGAACAUGGCGUACUGCUCAGUAACACGUGGAUAACCUGCCCUUAGGACUGGCAUAACCCCGGGAAACUGGGGAUAAUUCCGGAUAGUUCAUGGUAGCUGGAAUGCUCCAUGAUCGAAAGCUAUUGCGCCUAAGGAUGGGUCUGCGGUCUAUCAGGUAGUAGUGGGUGUAAUGUACCUACUAGCCGACGACGGAUACGGGUUGUGGGAGCAAGAGCCCGGAGAUGGAUUCUGAGACAUGAAUCCAGGCCCUACGGGGCGCAGCAGACGCGAAAACUUUACAAUGCGGGAAACCGCGAUAAGGGGACACCGAGUGCCAGCAUCUUAUGUUGGCUGUCCGCAUGUAUAAAUCACAUGUGUUAGCAAGGGCCGGGCAAG
rnacentral:rRNA from 1 species